AGGUCGGUAGCUCAGUUGGUAGAGCAGCGGUCUCCAAAACCGCGGGUCACAGGUUCGAGUCCUGUCCGGCCUG
rnacentral:tRNA from 1 species